rnacentral:tRNA from 1 species
GGGGCUGUAGCUCAGUGCUAGAGUGCUUGCUUAGCAUGGAUGAGGCACUGAGUUCGAUCCUCAGCACCGCUA